CCUACGGGAGGCAGCAGUGGGGAAUUUUGGACAAUGGGCGAAAGCCUGAUCCAGCAAUGCCGCGUGUGGGAAGAAGGCCUUCGGGUUGUAAACCACUUUUGUACGGAACGAAACGGUCUGCUUUAAUAAAGUGGGCUAAUGACGGUACCGUAAGAAUAAGCACCGGCUAACUACGUGCCAGCAGCCGCGGUAAUACGUAGGGUGCGAGCGUUAAUCGGAAUUACUGGGCGUAAAGCGUGCGCAGGCGGUUAUAUAAGACAGUUGUGAAAUCCCCGGGCUCAACCUGGGAAUUGCAUCUGUGACUGUAUAGCUAGAGUACGGUAGAGGGGGAUGGAAUUCCGCGUGUAGCAGUGAAAUGCGUAGAUAUGCGGAGGAACACCGAUGGCGAAGGCAAUCCCCUGGACCUGUACUGACGCUCAUGCACGAAAGCGUGGGGAGCAAACAGGAUUAGAUACCCUGGUAGUCCACGCCCUAAACGAUGUCAACUGGUUGUUGGGUGCAUUAGUACUCAGUACGAAGCUAACGCGUGAAGUUGACCGCCUGGGGAGGACGGCGCGAGUAAGUAACGUACGAAGAAGUAGAGCGUGAGAGNGCGAGGACGACGACGAGGAGGAGG
rnacentral:rRNA from 1 species